rnacentral:rRNA from 1 species
UAGGGAAUUUUCGGCAAUGGGGGAAACCCUGACCGAGCGACGCCGCGUGAGGGAUGAAGGCCUUCGGGUUGUAAACCUCUGUCUUCGGGGACGAUGAUGACGGUACCCGAGGAGGAAGCCACGGCUAACUACGUGCCAGCAGCCGCGGUAAGACGUAGGUGGCAAGCGUUGUCCGGAAUUAUUGGGCGUAAAGGGCGUGUAGGCGGCCUGUUAAGUCAGACGUGAAAUCCCCGGGCUCAACCUAGGGACUGCGUUUGAUACUGAUGGGCUUGAGGACAGGAGAGGAAAGUGGAACUCCGUGUGUAGCGGUGAAAUGCUCAGAUAUACGGAAGAACACCAGUGGCGAAGGCGACUUUCUGGACUGUCCCUGACGCUGAGGCGCGAAAGCCAGGGGAGCGAACGGG